AUCUUUCCUGCAGAGUGUGAGAGUACUGGGUAUAUUUGGGUUUCUGGGAAUGGAGAUUCGUUACUCAAAUAUUGUAUUCUAUUAAUUGUUAAAUAAACAAUUAUUCUUUCUUGCCUCCGUGGAUGUAGGUUUAAUUACCGAACCACGUAAAUUCUUGUGUCCUUUAUUUUUCAGUAAUUAUUUGGUGCGCUUGAUUCCGCAUU
rnacentral:lncRNA from 1 species